rnacentral:rRNA from 1 species
CCUAACACAUGCAAGUCGAACGGCAGCACAGCAGUAGCAAUACUGUGGUGGCGAGUGGCGGACGGGUGAGGAAUACGUCGGAAUCUGCCCAGUCGUGGGGAUAACUAGCCGAAAGGUUAGCUAAUACCGCAUACGACCGAGAGGUGAAAGCGGGGACCGCAAGGCCUCGCGCGAUUGGAUGAGCCGACGUCGGAUUAGCUAGUUGGCGGGGUAAAGGCCACCAAGGCGACGAUCCGUAGCUGGUCUGAGAGGAAUGAUCAGCCACACUGGAACUGAGACACGGUCCAGACUCCUACGGGAGGCAGCAGUGGGGAAUAUUGGACAAUGGGCGCAAGCCUGAUCCAGCAAUGCCGCGUGUGUGAAGAAGGCCUUCGGGUUGUAAAGCACUUUUAUCAGGAACGAAAAGCGUUGGAUUAAUACUCUGACGUGCUGACGGUACCUGAGGAAUAAGCACCGGCUAACUUCGUG